rnacentral:rRNA from 1 species
AUGGGCGGCAGCGGAGAUCAACGGUGGGUGCAAGAGACGCCGAUGGGCAGCGGGUCGAAUCCAGACUCGGGAGAAGCUCUUCGUCGCUACCGUGGUCUCCUGAGGUGGGAGACCGAUUUGCUGCGGAGUGAGGUCAGGUCCCGGGGCCUCGAUACGAUUGCUGGAAAGAAGGCUUAUCUUGAGCGCCAUUCUGAUGGAAGACAACUGCAAGAGCUGUUGUCCGCCCCUGAGGUCGGGAGUGUGCCUCUGGUGUCUUGGCCUUACCUUGUUCCUCAUCAUGAGGAGGCCGUGGAGCUACUCUUGCACGAGGCACACAGACUGACCUACCGCAUCCAAUCUCUGAGGGAACUCGGUGUGCCAAUCCCAUUGGAGAAGCUCGAAUUACUUUUUCGCUUGUCCGGAAUGUGUGCGAGCCUCUCCAGAAGAAUAAGGACGCAUGCAUCGCCAACCUCAAGCGAGUCUUCUCAGGAUGCUGCAAUUUCUCCUUACAAGGAGCGACGUAAGAGCUGGGUGUCGACUUGGGGGAGUCCAGUAUUAGGAUGCGGCGGCUUCCAUGACAUAACCACACUGUCUCCUAUGUAUUUUACCCCCUGCGCCCCUCGUAUCAUCCCAUCGUCCGCCUUUGCCACCGAGGCCUUACAGAUCUACUCGUUCGAAAUCUUUGAGCUGGAUGACAGCUUGAAGUGGCCACUCAAUAUCUAUGGUGUGGUCGCUGCUCGAGAUGCUGUGGAUGGUAACCGCAACCUUCUCUUCUCUCGCUCCACGGCUAACUGCCAAUUACUCACUAAAGAGGAUCCUUUUUUGCACUUGACUGGCCCUUCUCGUGCUAUUCUGUCUGAGUAUCCGGUUGAUUUUGAAGUUGAACUAAGGAUAAAAGAUGGAAGCGAGUCUCAAGAUAAAGCAUUGAUCAGUUCUACUAACCACCACCAUUUUUGUGCUGAUACUGCUCUUUUCUUUGGCUGCCUGUGUUCAGCAAAGUUAAACCUCCAGACUGUUGCUAGUGCUGUCCAGGUCACGAUAUUAUCAGUUCGUGUCACUGGAGGGCUGUCUACUUUUGAAUUUGGAGGGCAAAUUGCGUGUUCAUUGUCUACUGCAGGUCGCCAAGUUGUGUUGUUUGAUUCUAGUGAAGAAUUUUGUGAAGAUCUGGAAGGUUACGUUCCAUUGGCAAGGAAUGUUGUUACGGUGGAAUCAAAAGGUUCACUGAGGAUCAUCAUAAAAAGUUACACAGAAUCUCAUCUUGUUGCUCACCAGGCUGAGUUUGAAUUCGAUGCCAAGCAUUGUCAGAUAAGCAGUCAGGAACGUGUUAUUGGUGAUUCUAAGCUGCAGGUUGUCAUUGCUUGGUCCCUACUUGUGAGGGACAAGCUUGACAACAUGGCAGCGGGGUAUGCCUUCACUUAUCCCUCUCUCUGUGGCUAG